GCCAGGCAUGGUGGUUUACACCUGUAGUCUCAGCUACUGGGGAGACUGAGGUGGGAGGAUCACUUAAGCCCAGGAGUUCUGGACUGUAGGGCACUAUGCCUAUCAGGUGUCUGCACUAAGUUCAGCAUCAGCAUGGUGACCUCCUAAGAGAAGAGGAUCACCAGGUUGCCUAAGGAGAGAUGAAGUGGCCCACAUCAGAACUCCCAUGCUUAUCAGUAGGGUGAGUAGCCACUGCACUCCAGCCUUAGCAACACGGUGAGAUCUAUCUCUU
rnacentral:SRP_RNA from 1 species